CUCAAUCGGUAAAGUCUGCGGGGGGGGUUCGGUAAAGUCAUGCGGGGGGUUCCCGGUUCGAAUCCCCGUUAGGGCGAAUAAGCAUCCAGUGUGGGUCCUUGGCCAAGACCCUUCAAGCUACCGCCUACCUCAUAUCAUGAGAGACAAUGAAUCACAUGAGAUACCGGCUCAGACGUCGCCCGGUCUAACAAGGUCUGCGUCAGGUGUUGGGGAACCAGAGCACCUUGGCGAGAAGUGGGCUACUGGAACAAGAAAGAAAUGGCUGAGAUGCGAGAACAAGGCUCUGUUGGCAUGCUACUACUCAAGUAACCCUAGUCAGAGGGGUUACAUGCAAAGAAACCCACAUUCAAGGCUGACGGCGAAGCAACUAGUAGCUCAGUGUUCCAACAUCCACAAACGGCAACUGCUAUCACAACUUGAGAUUGACGAGAUACAACACAAAUGCUACGGCAAAAAUGCUACGGCAAGGGGGAGCCAGGACGCCAGGUCAGAGGGGAGGUUUGGGGUACGAAGCCCCAAUAAGCACAGAUACGCUGAGCGAGGCAGCGACUGACCUGAAAGAUAAGAUCAUGGCGAGAUUGAACAGGCAACCCCGAACCCCACUACAACGGCUAAGUGAAGUACCAUCAGAAAGUCUCAUGGAAGAUGUGAAUGCAGCAUUGAGAGCGAUCCCUACCACAACAAUCAUAGAAACCAAUGAGCUGAUAUACGCUUCAGCAUCAGUGAUCCUAGAGGUGCUUGGCUAUAAGAGCAACCAUGGGAGCCAUGAGAAACAAUACCCACCAUGGAAACGAAGGUUGGAGGCAAAAAUCAAGGCAGCUCGGAGGGAAGUGAGCCAAAUGACAGAGGCCCAGAGAGGUGCAAUGAAAAGACCACUACAGCUACAAGCCUUGGCCAGCCGCCUAAAGAGAUACACCAGAGAUAACGAAGCCAGACGAAUAAACCGGCUGUUCGCAACACAACCUGCGAAAGUGUACUCUCAAUGGCAGGGUAAUAACAACAGAGCAGACCCACCAAGGCUGGAAACUGAACAGUACUGGAAGGGUAUAUGGGAAAGGGAGGCAUCACACAACAGUGAUGCACAGUGGCUGGUGGAUCUGAGGGAAGACCACAGCAACCUCCCUGAACAGAAUCCAGUGACUAUCACAGUGGCAGACAUCCAACAUAGAGUCUCAGGUAUGAAAAACUGGACAGCACCUGGCCCUGACAUGAUCCACGCCUACUGGCUAAAGAAGCUCACUGCAAUCCAUGAGCGCCUGGCAGCACAAAUGAACCAGCUGCUAAGGGAUGGGACUCACCCUGAAUGGCUAACCGAAGGGCGAACGAUCCUGAUAAUGAAGGAUCCCUCAAAGGGUACAGUCCCAUCCAACUACCGGCCAAUAACCUGUCUCUCCACAACAUGGAAGCUCAUGUCGGGCAUCAUCGCAGCUAAGAUAAGUGGGCACAUGAGUCAAUACAUGAGCGAAGCACAGAAGGGCAUUGGUAAGGAUACCAGAGGAGCCAAACACCAACUCCUGGUAGACAGAACAGUCGCCCAAGACUGCAGAAUGCGACACACCAACCUGUGCACAGCCUGGAUCGACUACAAGAAAGCCUAUGACUCAAUGCCACACACAUCGAUCACUGAAUGCUUGGAGCUGUACAACAUCAACAGAACUCUAAGGGCCUUCAUUGCAAACUCGAUGAGGUUGUGGAGAACCACCCUUGAAGCCAAUGGGAAGCCACUUGCCCAAGUAUCCAUCAAAUGUGGCAUAUACCAAGGAGAUGCACUGUCCCCACUGCUGUUCUGCAUAGGUCUGAACCCCCUCAGCCAAAUAAUAAACAAGACUGGCUAUGGAUACCGACUCCGGAACGGGGCCACCAUAAGUCACCUCCUCUACAUGGAUGACAUCAAGCUGUACGCCAAGAGUGAGCGAGACAUCGACUCGCUGAUCCACACCACCAGGAUCUACAGCUCGGACAUCGGGAUGUCAUUCGGGCUUGAGAAAUGUGGGAGGAUGGUGACAAAGAGAGGCAAGGUAAUCCACACAGAAGGGGUCUUACUCCCAGAAGGAACAAUAGCAGACAUUGAGGACAAUUACAAGUACCUUGGAAUACCACAGGCAAACGGCAACCUUGAACAGGCAACAAGGAAUGCGGCAACAGCCAAAUACCUCCAACGAGUAAGGCAAGUCCUAAGAAGCCAGCUCAAUGGCAAGAACAAAUCCCGGGCAAUAAACAGCUACGCUCUGCCAGUGAUCAGAUACCCUGCGGGAAUAAUAAGGUGGCCAAAGGAAGAGAUACAGACCACAGAUGUUAAGACACGAAAGCUCCUCACCAUGCAUGGAGGGUUCCACCCCAAAUCAAGCACCCUGAGACUGUACGCUAGCCGCAAGGAAGGAGGCCGAGGACUAGUGAGCGUGAGAGCCACUAUCCAGGAUGAAACAUCCAAGAUCCAUAAGUACAUCAAGGAUAAGGCCCCGACAGAUGACGUGCUGAGUGAAUGUCUCAGGCAGUGGAGAACAGAGGAUGAGAUGCUGGAAGAGGGACCAUCAUGGGAGGACAAGCCCUUGCACGGGAUGUACCACCGGAACAUAACUGAAGUGGCUGAUCUCAACAAAUCCUACCAAUGGCUUGAAAGGGCUGGGCUGAAGGACAGCACAGAGGCACUCAUCCUGGCUGCACAGGAGCAGGCCCUGAGCACCAGAGCCAUAGAGGCCCAGAUCUACCACACCAGACAAGACCCAAGGUGUAGACUGUGCAAAGAGGCCCCAGAGACGGUCCAGCACAUAACUGCAGGGUGUAAGAUGCUGGCAGGGAAAGCAUACAUGGAACGCCAUAACCAAGUGGCUGGCAUAGUAUACAGGAACAUCUGCACAUUAUGUAUGGACUGGAAACCCCAAGGUCAAAGUGGGAAACACCUCCCAAGGUGGUAGAGAACGAGCGAGCCAAGAUCCUGUGGGACUUCCAGAUCCAGACUGACAGAAUGGUAAUGGCGAACCAACCAGACAUUGUGGUGGUGGAUAAAGAGCAGAGGAAAGCCGUAGUGGUGGAUGUGGCAAUACCAAGCGAUGGCAACAUCAGGAAAAGGAACAUGAGAAACUAGAGAAAUACCAAGGGCUCAGAGAAGAACUGGAGAAGGCUUGGAAGGUGAAGGCCACAGUGGUGCCUGUGGUGAUCGGAGCACUGGGGGCAGUGACCCCCAAACUGGAGGAGUGGCUACAACAGAUCCCUGGAAAAACAUCCGAAAUCUCAGUCCAGAAAAGCGCAGUCCUAGGAACAGCAAGGAUACUGCGCAGAACCCUCAAGCUCCCUGGCCUCUGGUAGAGGACCCGAGCUUGGAAAGUGGAUGAGACCACCCGCGGAGGGUGAGAAUAUAUAUAUAUAUCCAAACCUUGGAAACACCUCCCAAGGUGGUAGAGAACGAGCGAGCCAAGAUCCUGUGGGACUUCUAGAUCCAGAAUGACAGAAUGGUAAUGGCGAACCAACCAGACAUUGUGGUGGUGGAUAAAGAGCAGAGGAAAGCCGUAGUGGUGGACGUGGCAAUACCAAGCGAUGGCAACAUCAGGAAAAAGGAACAUGAGAAACUAGAAAAAUACCAAGGGCUCAGAGAAGAACUGGAGAAGGCUUGGAAGGUGAAGGCCACAGUGGUGCCUGUGGUGAUCGGAGCACUGGGGGCUGUGACCCCCAAACUGGAGGAGUGGCUGCAACAGAUCCCUAGAAAAACAUCCGAAAUCUCAGUCCAGAAAAGCGCAGUCCUAGGAACAGCAAGGAUACUGCGCAGAACCCUCAAGCUCCCUGGCCUCUGCCAGAGGACCCGAGCUUGGAAAGUGGAUGAGACCACCCGCGGAGGGUGAGAAUAGAGUGUGUGUAUAUAUAUAUAUAUACUGUGCAUUACAAAGUUCUGUUAUGUGGCCAAACAAAUUAACAGGAACACAAUACAAGUUAGCAGCAUCUCUAAGACACUUAAAUGACCCUCCUCUUCAUUUACUGCCGGACAAACCUGUCACACUGACACAGUUAAGAUGGGUGUCACAUAAGUGUUUUAGAGCAGAAGUUGAAUUUUUUUCGCAUUGGCCCACUUUAAACCUAACUCAAUAUGAGCAUGUUAGUGCUGAAUAUUGUUUUGUAGCUUACUGGUUACCCCUCCUGCGGCUUAGUAUUCACAUCUCUAAUCAAAGCCUCUGAUUUCAGUUUGUGCCUAAAGGUCAGCCCCUUACCAAAGGUGUGAAUAUGGCUCCGUUCUUGCUAUUCGAAUUAAAGUAGUGAUGUAGUGUAAGCUUGUUAUGAGCAGACCUGAGCCUGGUGUCUGAUCUCUGUUACUCAAGAACCAAACUGAACACAGCUGUUCUGGCAGCAACUAACAUUGAUAAUAAUAAUAAUGGAUAAGUGUCUAUUAUUAUAUUAAUGACCCUCAUUUUCUUACUCAAAUAAAGAAACGUGGUUCCUCUUCAAAUAGGGAACGAUUCAAACUUGCCUCGUCUUUACAUCUGAAUGUAAAGAGAUUUGUUCCAAGCACAAAUUUUCCCUAGACAAAGGUAAAUUGGAAAAUACCUAAUUUACCUAAUUAAAAUAAGAAAAAGAGACAUUUUUGGGUGCCCAGACUAGCUUGAGAAGUGGUGCAGAAGUGGCCCUACAUUAAACGAGAUAGUUACAAUUUGUUAAACACUAGUCUUAUGUAGUCAGACUGUUGAAGUAAUAGAAAAGAGCUUUGUGUUAACAGUGUAUAGAACCCAGCAGAUUCCGAUGAGUUCAGAAUGAUAUAUGGUGACGUGGCACAGUGGGUCAGACGACACCAGCUGAUAGGUUUGGGACUGAGAGUACAGUCAGCCACUACUCUGCCCUCAGCCUCACACCAGAACCUCCGAGGUCAGAAAGACAACACAACAGUGUCCUUUGUGUCAUGCUUCCAGUGGAGACAUAUGAAACGUGCCUCUUUUCUCUCACUGCAUGUGUUUAUUCUACUCUCCCAUAGUUGGUGGCUUGUGACAUACUCAUUAGCUCAAUUUGUACAGAUUAGUAAAUGCUGAAGCAUGAAUAGAUGUUAGGUACGGAAGAGCUGGUGGGGAUGCACACUGACAUGUGAUCUGAUGUGGCCACAUCCAGCAGCUAGCUCCCUGUUGCAAGUCCUGGCUUUUUUUUAUUCUGCUAAUUAAAACAUUUUACAUUUUACUUAAUUUCUCUGCUUUAUUAAAAAUGCUCAGUUUGCAAAACAGGCACAAGCCACUGGGUCAUAGCUACAGCUAUGCACAAGUGUGUGGAAGCUUGUCUAAAGAGGGGAUGUCGCUCCUAGCUUGUUCUUCAAAGGAAUUCAAUAAGCACGUGUAGAUUGUAACAGUUUAAAGAACUGGAAUAAUACAGAUCACAUCGUAACCAUUCCAACCCUUAUCGACCCUCCCCAGCUUAUGUCUGUGUUUGCCUUUCUGCUUGCUGUGUCCAAACCCGGGAGUCGGUGGCUGGCUGUGGCAUGUACACGAGCAGAGUGUCCUCAUGUUUUAUUUUUAAUCUGCGUUGCUUUUUUUCCUUAAUCUCUCCAAUUCCAUUUGGCCCUUAAGUCCAUUUAGCUUGUAUUCAAGGGUUCAGUAGAGCACUUCAGUCUAUUUUUAAAUCCCCCACCAACGAAUGGAUCCGGCUGAAAUCUUUUAAUUAUGCCAGCUACCACCUGAUACAACCUUUAUUUGUCUUUAGAAGCUGUGCAGUGCCAGGCAUCGUGUGGCAAUAGGGAGAAGGCAAAUGCCCAGACUUCUGUCCAUUACGGGUUGUGUCUGUGUAAAAUGACAGAGAAUGAUAAUUAAGCUCUCGUUUUUGCUUUUCCUUUAACUUCAUAUUAGUGUUUCCUUCGACAGUAGCACAGAUGUAGCCAGCUUGCACCUUUUCAGAACAUUCAGUGAUGGUCUCUAAAAAGCAAAGUAGCUCUUGUUUGUUCUACAUAUUGAGCAGAGCAUAUGACAGCACAUGUUACAGGCCAGCAAAUACUGUUUUGAUGGUCAGAUAUAUAUUUAAAGAGUGAUAAUGAUCCCCGAAGAUGCUUAAUAAAGCUCAAAUACAGUGUUCACUGAGUACGUGUACAAACACAAUCAUAGUCUAAUAUUAGAAUAACAUGCAAUAUUUAUCUAUUCACCUGACCAGAGGUAAAAGUGCCUUGAUAACAGUUGUAUGUUCACUUUUAGUAAUCACGUAAAAAGGCUGAAUGUUAUUAGUAGAACAAUAUAGAAAGAGCUUUGGAGACACCAAAAUGAGGCGCUUUGCUAAUCUUUACAUAAUGAAAGUCCUGGAGUCAUUUUUUAGUGAUCAUCAAAUUGAUGCCUUAAGGCACUAAUAUAUUACAUAUAUGACUUAGUCAUACAAUGUUUGACAUCAGAUGUGAAAUCUCUGCAUGAAGGUUUACUUAUCUGAUAAAUAUGAGCUUUGUUCUAAACACACCAAUAAUGUAAGCAACUGGAAUGUCCGUAUCCUCAAACUAUCAAAGGACUUAAAGUUGAGAUUGGUGUGUAGCUUGGGCUUAUCUGGUUGAUUUCAUAUGAUAUGAAUCCGUUUUGCAACUGUGUCUACUGUCAUGUGUGAUGACAAAGACUAUGGUCAGUUAUGUCGCCCAUUCUAUUGCAGACAUGCAUAGUUUUGGUUCCCAUGGAUCCCUAAGUGUUCCUCCUAGAACGCAGUGUGGCUUCCGCCCCACCAUUUAGAUUCACAGGCUAAGAAUGUGUCACUCUUCUCGCCAAGCAUUUUAUGAUAGCCCUUUUCUGCUGCAGUGCACAUUUCCCUGAACUCUGCUGCCUGUCUGCCCUCUGUGCAGAGUCAUUUAUCUGCAUUGCUGAUGCAGAUAAAUGAAACAAUAAUACCAAUAGUGGUAUUUAGAGCAGCAAUUGUGAUAACGAUAAAAAUAAUAAUAGUAUUGUUAAGCAGAAUUGGAAUACAAUGUAUACCAAAGCAUGACACAAGUAUUACAGUGGAGACAGCAGUAACCACCACAAUGGUGAUGCAUUAGUCAUUUUAACCAGUAAUUAUGUUACCAUUGGCUACAAAUCAGCUGAACGACUGAACGAUUUCUACAUUGGAACUUCAGUUAUUCCUCAGCAAACUGAAUUCAGUGUCAGAAACGGAUACUAUAAUAGUCAGUACUUUCCCCUAAAAGUCCAAGAGGUGAUGGAGCCAAUCCGCUAUCAUUAGGUGGGAGACAGGGUCCGCACCGAACUGUGGCCACUCACAUUCUACACUCUGUGUAGCUUGUCAUUCAGCCAGGUCAUGUUUAUUCUAAAGAUUCUGUUCAGUGGCAACUGAACCUGCUUCUUCUUCUUCAGCUCUGAUUGACUGAAUGGGUUAGCAGGUUCAUGUCCCCCUUGAUCUUCUACUCUGCAGUAGCUGCCAGUCAGCCUCUCAUUGAGGCUAGCAGCCCAGGGACCUAACUUGCCAAUCAAAUCAUCCUGUGGGAACAGAGAUAUGUGGAAACACAUAUACAGAGGAUUUCAUUUGGUAUUCCAGUAUUUGACUUAAUGACAAAAUGUGAGAUAAAGACAGUCUCCCAGUUUUUUGUGUAAAGGGGAAACCUGUGAAUGCAGCUUGUAGUGAUAUGGAACAGGAAACUAGCUUUAGGUUAGACUGUAGGACAGAUGGUGCAGCGUGUACGAGCAGUUGCCCAAAACCAUUUCAAAAUUUGGCAGCAGCCAACACCAGCGUGGCCCUUAGAGAACAUGAGUUUCUGUCUUUUAUAAAUGGGAAGCCAGUCCACAGUUGAGUCAUGGUUCUCAUUCAUUAUUUAACUUCUGUACAAUUUCUCUUCUAUGUGAUAUAUUUUGUUAAAUUUUGCUUACAUUAUUCAUAAAUAGUUUAUGUUUUAUGUCAUUUCUUUGCAGCUUAGCUUGACAAAUUACUUGGUUCAGUUCAUGUGUCAGUGUUUGUUAGAGAAUGUUUGGCAAUGACUGUUGAAUAUUCUAAUAGUCAUUACAUGAACAAAAACAAAAAAAUAUAAUAUUUUACAUGACUGUAGCUGUCUUCUCUUGUUUCUCCUGGAGUUUGGAAAAAACGCAAUAAUGAGGUCAGCGUAGAAUCUUACUACAGGUCCCUAAAUGCAAAAUCCACUUUCAGCCGCUUUAGCCAAACAGCAGCAAGCUGGAUGCCCUGACCUGAUACCCCUAUGAUGCAAUGUGCGCUUUUGCGGUUUGGCGAUCAACUUCUCGUGUGACAGACUCCUAAUACAGCACUUUCCACCAGGGGGCUGGAAAUAAACACAUUAAGACUGGCAGUGUGGACGAUCCACAAGGAUUUAUGGCAUGAAAACAUAUAGACUCCUUACUGAGACAUUGAAGUCCAAUAUUCUUUAGCGUGAAAAGCAACAAAAGCUUUAUGAUCAUGAUGUCAAUUUGGUACAAUAAUACAGAUUAAUAUAGAGAUAAAUAUAUGAACACAUGAGAGCAUGAAUAAUCCGUUUGUAAUGUCCUAGUGAGUGCUGAGGGCCACCUACAGGUCUUUAUUGGUAUGUUUUGCCUGCAGUAAGGGCUGCCCUUUGUCACUGGUUCCUCAUCGUUUUUAGGGACAGAAUUUUAUGUUGGAAUGUUGGAAAUUGAGUUCUCCAUUUGUCACUCCAUUUUCUUCUUCGGUCCUAAACAUACAUCUCCUGCCGGGAGGAAGACGCGCUGGAGGGACUGUGUCUCUGUUGUUCAGGGAAUGCUUUGAGAUCUUCAGGAAAAGUAGAGAGCGUCUUAGGGAGAGAGUAGUGUGGGGUUUCUCACACUACACCGCUGUCCACAAACCGGCCACCGAUAAGCACCAGAAGUCAAGUCAAGUCCGAAGGGGGAAUGCAGCCUGUAUUCAAGCAGAAAAAUUAAGAUUUUCUGCAUGAACACUGGGUACAAUGCAACACAUAGUGUGCCUUCCUUCAUGCCCAUCAUACCCAGCAGCCGCUCUGCCUAUUAGAACCGCUUCCUGUAUGAAUCUUGCUGCGUCUGUCCCAGAAGCUGUGCACAAAGACUAAGACUUCUGUGCUCUCAGCUUGUCAUAAGACGGCUCUUUCCGCUGUGGUUUCCUGCCAUUACAUUUCGUUACAUAAGGCUAUUGAUGAAAAGAGAGACACGUGCUCCCAGCAGAGCCUGAGUGGAGCCCACUAGCAUGGCCUCAUGGAGGAACUGGGAGAGAGCAGGUCCACAGCGUGGACGCACACAUGGGGCAGGCAAACAGCAAUUUUCUGCUGGUUGAGACUUAAUGACAUGCUUCUCUGACACACUGAGGUUAGCUGGAUUAUUUUGGGACAGUUCCUGUGUAUAGAACCCAAAAUGCACAUGCUAAAAACAUCGACUGUAAUGCUUUUAAUUACAGUUUAAAGAAACUGUUUGAAAUACUUUUCAGCUAAGAAAAUAGCUCCACACUUUUCUAUGUCCUCACUGUCUUUGACCUUCCUCUUUCCUAUCUCUUGUAGUUUGUGGUCUCUGUCAUUAACAGAGUUAAAUGACCCAUCAGCACCUUGCUUUAUUUCUAGCACAUCACUGUUCACCACAGCUCCCAUUUGCUGCUACACUGGGACACUUUUAAUAAUUAUAUUAUUAACCUACACAGAUAAUAUUAGCUCAUGUUCCCAAUACGCUGAAUAACAGGAAGACAUCACAAACCCCCAUUAACCACCUGCAGUUCUUCAUGUGGGUGGCUGCUACUGCACGGGUGCAUCACAUCAGCAGGGGCUGCACAAACUCGGGGUGUUUGCAGCCUCAGCAAUCAAGGAAGCCACUAAGGGAGGUGAAAUGAGAUUAGCAGGCUUGAAGUAGCAGUCAAAUCAGCGGCUCUUAUAUUCUAACAUAUUCUGGCUUUGGUCUCUGGUUUGGUGGCACACAAAACAAUGUGGAGGAAAUAAAAGAUUCUGCGACCCUGAAACCAGAGCAUCUGUCACAGCAGAAAUACAUCUCCACUAAAUAAGUCAUAUUCCCAGAUUGAAGUGUGUAUCAUUUAAAAGCUUCAGACUGCCUAUCCCCCUUGUCACCAGAGCUGAGAGACACUCCAAGUGUCCCAGGUUACAUCACAUGUGGGUGGGCCUCUUCUCUGCUGUGCAAAUUAGUGUAAUGGUAACACUGUCAAGGAAGAUGGUCGUCAAUCUCAAAAAGAAAACCUCCUUCUCAACAUAGUGAAUGUUGUUUGUUAAUUGUAUGUCUAGACGUUUGCUGCUAUUAAAUAGUGUCAGUUACUAAAGUGGGAUUUGUGGGUUUUCCUGUAUUGUUCUAUAUGCAGCAGUUGUAUUUUUGGUUCUGUAAGGUUGUAAACAUCACAUUGUAAAGUGUGUUGGGAUGAAUUUUGUGGUCAGUUGGUGCCAUAUAAAUAAACUAAACUAAACUGAAAUGCCUGUCAAUAUUUCAGCCACAGUUUGAGGUUUAGACAGGAUGUGCUUUUAAUUAUUAGUUGGGGGAGGGUGGGUGAUGGGCUGUGGGCAUGUGUUGUCCUGAGGCCCCCAGGGACUAAGCCAGCAGCUUAAUGAGCAGCCCCACAGGGAUUAGUGCUACUUCAUCCUCACUAUUUUGACUGCGUCUCUACUGAAUUAUAGCACUGAUGGAGGAGGAGCAGGCACGUCUGGGAUCUUCUGUUUGUCAGCAGACUCAGUCACAAAGUUUUUCCUUCCCUGCCUAGAAGCAAAGAAAAACUAGAAUGUCACAGCUUGUGAUGUUAGAAAUAUCUGAACACUUACUAAGUAGCUUUAGGAAAAACAAAUACAUUAACUCAGAAUAUAUUCAAGUCUAUCAUCACAUUAAACUAUAUUAAACAUUAUCAUACAUUUAUUUCCUUGUUACUUCCAUUACUCACUACCUAACACAAAUAGGUGAUAUUCACUAGCACAUAAAAACACGCAAAGAAAGUGUAAAGAUAUAUAUGAUUCACAUCUCCCUAUCAUCCCUUGUGUUGUGUUAUUUUUCCGACAGUGUUUAGUACAGUGCACUGAGCACAAUCACUAUUCUUUGUAAUAGUCUCCUAUCAUGCUCUUACUGCUGUGUCAGCAUCUGAGCCUUGUUCAAAUAUUUACUGUUGUUUGAUCUUAAUGUAGGCCACCCACUGUGUUGCAAUAUAGCCUUGAUACAUACUUGGAAAAGACAACAGGAGGCAAAUUACAGUAAGCCUGCCUCCCUCCUGAGUUUCUCUGUUGUCAUAAUCAGUGUGAGAGGUACUGAAUGUGUAUUUAGAACAGAUUUUCCUGUGCUUUCAAAGGAUUCAUGACUUCAUUAGAACCUGUGAGAUAAAAUUCAAAGUCUAUCUGUGUCCAAACUAGUGCACAAACUGAAAUUUUAAAUUUUCUGUGUAUAUAAUUCUAUACAAAAGCAUUGGCCAGUUCAUGUUUGCAUUACUUCUGUUUACUGCAUUUAUUAUUAUUAGUGUAGUGCAGUGUAUUAUAAGUGUUGAAGAACUGAGAGCAUGGCAGGUGCAAUGACUUGGAAUACCCUUAAGAAAAAGGAAAUAAGCAGACUCGAGCAAAUACUGUAAAUGAAAAGAGUCAGUAAAUGGAAAAACAAGUGUUGGAACAAUCCACCAUGAGCAGAAUGAAUCUGAAAACUGGUACAGGAUGAAUAGAGCCUUAUUACUACUCGUUGAAGCAGUAGCUGGUGGUGGUAGAAUGAUAUGUAAAGGUGAUAGAAAUCUUGUUGUAAAUCAGUGACGGAUGCUUCAAAAACUCACUAACUUGAAGUAGCAAGUCUUUAUAGUGACAUAGCAUUACUAUGUGUUAACAUCAGCUAAGUAAAGUAAUAUCAGAUCACAAUUUCUUUUCACCAUAUUUGCAAUAUUAUACUGUAUGCAGUAUUUUGAUAUAAGUGGUUGUAAGGAGUCCUAAUACAGUGUGUACAGUGUACAGUAGAAUACACAUUAUAUCUGAAGCAAGACACAGGUGGGUCUACUGUCGCUUCAUUUUCAUGUCAAAACACACCCAGUGUGACUGUGUCUCCUGGUCCUCCAUCAUUCACAGGAACUGACACGAUGUGGCUCUGUGGAGCGUUGUGUUCUGGAAUACGGUAACCUAGCAACGAUGUCACAGACACUUCACUGUGACGGGUCAGUGAUGAGCGAUUGUGCUUUGUCUGUCUUUGAAAAUGGAGGUGGGAGAUAUUGCCCUCUGAGAUCAAUAAGCCUUCAUUAAAUCACUUAGAGAAGAGGUUUUAAAUUCUAAAAUUACUACACUACAGUAUGUGGAAGUAGAUUGAAUAUAGCAAUAUUGGCAUCAAAUGUGUGAAACCCAUAUGCUGCCUUAGGCCAUGAAGAAUGGAACACAGUAGAAAGUCAUAGGUUUCUGGUGUUACGUAGAUGUAUUAUGUUGAAGGCAGUGUAGUAGAAACGAAUCCACUGUUAAAGUAUAAGAACACAGAGGAUGACAAGGAAACCUGCAUAGCCAACAGCAGGUCAGCCGAGUGUUUGAAGCACGGUAGGCUACACAUGCAUCCUUCCUAUUUAUAGAUUGAAGGGUCGACCCACCAGUGAGACACUUCACCAGCAGAUCUGGCCUCUUCUGAAUGAAGGAGUGACUUCAAUAUUUUCAGCAUAUUGAGGGCUGAGAUCUAUUAUUACAUUGCUCUCCUACAGGCGUGCAUUCGGUUUAAUGGAAACUUAACGCCCUUGAAGGUGUAUCUGAGACUUUGAACCACAUCCUGCAGGCGGCCAGAAGGAUGACACAGAUACGCAUUUGCAAAAUGCAGCUUCACAUGCAUGUGUUGAAAAGUUUUGUUUUUUGUUUUUUUGACAUGACAUUUGUCUGGGUUUUAUAACCCUUUUGACCCUUUCUUUUGACAUCUUAGCCAUCCAUCACUGCGAUGGUCGAACUCUUGUUAGAGCUAUGAUCUCUUCUUUUUGCUCAUAUGCUAUAUGUGGCCUGAUGCUGCUGUUCUUUGAACUGCUUUUAUGAGAUCUAACAAUGUUUUUUUUGUGGUGGAGAACUCAUAUAGCAUCAUGGCAACUUCAGGACAUGUUCAACAUGAUUGAUUGCUAUAGUGAUUUACUCACAGAUAGCUGACAGGAACAUUUAGUUUACUAGUGUAAAGCGCUUUGGAUCCCGGAAGGUUUAAAGUGCUAUAUAAAUGUGAACCAUUUAAAGGAGACUGCUUAAACUGCUUUUCAUGCCAAAGAAUAUUGGCCUUCAAUGUCUCAAUAAGGAGUCUUUUUAUGAGAAUUUUUUAUGCCAUAAAUCCCUCUAGAUCAUCUGCACUGCCCAUAUCAAAGUGUGUAUUUCCACCCCCCCUGGUGGAAAGGGCUGUUUGGUUUUGUCGCACAUGCAGUUCAUCACCACACCUGUUUGCGGAAGCUCACUUUAUUUGAUAGGGGUCACAGGUACCAGCAUCCAGCUUGAUGUUGUCUAGCUAAAGCUAUUGGCUAAUGAAGCACUAAUGGAGAGUCUGACACUCUAGAGCAGUGGUCCCCAAUCCCUGUGAAAGAAAGAAUGCUUACCUUACAUUAUUUCAGAUUUAUUGUGAUUCUAAACAAUGUUUUAUUUUGGAAAAUUACCAGAAUCUCUGUCCUAAAUUCGCCUGUGACCUACUCUAACUCAUUAACAUGUCAAGACGCUUGCCUCAGUCACAUGUCUUACUUACAACCACUAACUUCUGCUGCUUUGCCCCGUAACACUUAGCACAUUUCCGCUAACUUGAAACCCCCAAGCUAGCAAACAAAGGUCUUUGGAAAGUUUCUUUGCACAGGGUAAAAGAACCAUUGAAAAGACAUAAAAAGAGCAUAUGUAAGAAAAAUUCUACUUGAAAUACUGAAUUGAGUUAUUGCAGCAGGUUAUUCCCACACACCAAGCCCGCUCUGCAUAAUGCAGCAACCAGCUCUGAUGAGGCAAUUAAGCCUUUUGCACCACUUCGCUACUUGGAAACCAAGCAUUCUACAUCUACGUCUAUGUUACGAGGAAGCUGCUAAUAAAGUUACAUACACAGUGGAUGCACAUUAAUUAGAUUUUUUGUGUGUGUCGGAAAUACUGUUUUGGUAUUCUGCAUUUGUCUGGGCAGAAGCAGAGGUGAUUUUGUGAGUGGCCUGUUUACUAUCGACGUAGGCAGAAAAUGAACUACGACACAAAUCAGGCUUAGAUUGGAUUCUUUAAAGUAGCAAAUGUAAAGCCAGUAGCAAGUGCACUUCAAGUAGCAAGUGCACUUCAAGUGCACCCAUAGUGUGUUUAAAUGAACCACAGAAUCUCACGUCAGAAGUCAUUGUCAUUGGUGGAAAUACAAUGCAUCAGUGUUACAUGUCCUUAGAAUCAUGUUUCAAAUGUCUACAUUUAUCAAGGCAGCUUGACCCAAAAUUGACCUACAGUACAGAUUUCUGUCCUUCUGUUACAAGUGUCUGAAGACCCCUGAAAAUGUUGAUCUAUUCCCCUAAGGCUUAGUGUUAAGUGAGUGAAGGUGCCUCUCUAUCCUGUGGUUGUGUGCUGUUGUGUAACGGAGACACAACCCACUGCUGCCUUUAGUAUGUCAGUGGUUCAAGUAAGGACAAAAAUACUGUAUUGUAUUAUUGUAAAUACACAAGGGACUUGUUUACUGUCAUUUGUGUUGUCAGAGAAUUUGAAAAUCAAUUUGAAAGCUAAACUCAUAUCUUUAAGGUACCAAGCAGAUAGAACAUUAAAACUUUAGAUACAAUAGACGUGGACAGUUUCCUCAGAGGAGCAGAUGAACAUUUCAGCAUAGAGAGCAGAGGCAACAUUUUGUGUUAGUGUUGAUUCAUGCAGAGCCUGGGGGUGUGGGGGCUGCCAGGUCACGUCCUGGACACAGCUGCAUUAUUAACAGAAGGUCAGCUGUCAGCACAAGUCUGCAGGGCUCGCAUCGAGCAGCUCACUUGAUUCUGCACCUCUGGCUGUUUAGUGAAGAUUCACCAGGCCUCUGUUUUAGCUUCUUAGCUUCUCUUAGUUCCUCAUCAUUUUACUGAGAGGAACUGUAACAAAUACAACUUAAAAAGUUGUCUGGUUAUAAACUGUCAACCACACUGUUUGAUGCGGGACCCAGUGUUGCCUGAAGUGCACUGGAAAUAUUAUGGACAUAUAGUACUCUAACCAACAUCUUCUCUCGUCUGAAACUCAGCCCAGUUGCAAAGAUCAUCACCAUAGUCGUACAGAAAGCCUACUACCCACUAGUGGUUUGGUGGUGCAGCUGCAUACUGUAGUUAAACACAGAAUAUGUCAGUAUGUGACUGUAAAAUCAACAGAGAAUAUAAAAACGAUUGUAGCUGUCUAUUUACAUCCUCCCUACUGUAUAUUCCUUCAGCUUCUUCCAUCUUGUUGCUGCCAUUGAGCUGCCCUGACACAAUGGUGUCACCACUGGCCCCGCCCCAUCUUAGCUUUGACAGAUAGGUGCAGGGAGGGCAGAGGCUUGCAUCCUCUUAGAAUCUGGGCAGAGAGUUGCUGUGAUCGCACCCAGAAAGAAGAAAUGUAGAAAACCUGCACUGUUCCCAUUUUGACAGCUCCAGAAAGUAGAUGUGUCUUGUUAAAGAACAGGGGAUAUAUUAAUGGCAAAACAUUAGUUGCAGGCAGAGGUAGCAAAAAGAAGACAUUAUCUUCUUUACAGUGGAAGACAGUCUGUACAAUCUGAGGAGCUCGCACUGGGGGGAUGAACAGGACAAUCUGUAAUUUUUAAUAAGAGCAUCCUCAGGCAGACGUCCUGCAGGGAGCAAAAGAACAUGUCCAGAUUCUUUACCCAGCUGCCUCCAUCUGCCUUUAAAUACAGUGAAACUUCAUAUCUUAGACUUGAAAAAAUGCUAAUGCAGGCCAGAAUAGAGUGUACCUCAUAACUGUUGAUUCAUCCCUUGUUGGAGUCCUUACAGCCAGCUUGCAUUUUUACAUACAGUGAAAAACAAUAGUCAUGUUUACCUAAAUAAUGUAUUACCACAAAGGGCUUCAAAAUAUAUGUUCUGGCAGACCAAUAAGAACAGACACACAGUAAGUACAGUAAGGCUUUGUCAGGUUUUGGCAGAGCUCGGACCCACAUGCACAGCACAGAGACCACAGGCAGAACGUAGGGUUAAACGGUUUAUUCAGAAUCACAGACAAUCCGGGUCAUGCACAGUCAAUCACGGGGCUUCGGUACCGGUGGGGCAGGCUGGUUCGGAUCCGGGGCAGGCAGAGGUUCGGUAACAGAAGAUCGCAGUUUUACGGUACCGUGAGGGAGCAGGCUGUCUCGUAGUCGGGCGGUUAGGUUCGUUAUCCAAGAGCAAUCCAAGCAGUAGUACAGAUCAGGGAGUCGGCAGGAAUCAGGAGUCAGAAACGGAACAGGGUCACGGCACAUGAACAGAGUAACUAAUUGCUGGAAAGUGUAGUCUGGCUUACAACGAUCUGGCAAGGUGUUCUGGGGCUGAUGGUGCUUAAGAAUGCUGAGGAUAAUUACUGAUAUGGAACAGGUGAGACUAAUGACGACCGGAAAUAAAGCUGAAACUAAGGUGAGGUGGCAGGAAACCGGAAGUAUAAUGCAGUAAAGCAGGAUGUGACUCGUAGACGUGACAGUACCCCCCCUCCUAGGGCGGCGACCAUGGCGCCCACGGCAACCCCUCCCCCCCCAGCCAGGGUGGGCGGAGGGAGGUCUAGGAGGAGGGACCAGAACCGGACCCCCCAGCGGCAGGCUGGGCGGGCCGUGGCGCCCCUCCCGGGGCAGGAGGUAUGGGAUGCGCCGCGUGAUAUUCCCGGAUGAGGGACUUGUCCAGGAUGUCCCUGGCCGGAACCCACGAGCGUUCCUCAGGACCGUACCCCUCCCAGUCCACGAGGUACUGGAACCCCCGGCCACGUCGCCUGCAGUCCAGGAGCUCUCGGACCGUGUAUGCUGGAGACCCAUCCACCACCCGAGGUGGUGGAGGUGGUUGAUGAGGGGGCACCAUGGGACAGGAGCGAAACGGUUUGAGACGACUAAUAUGGAACGUUGGAUGGAUCCUCAGUGACCUGGGUAGUGAAAGC